ACUCCUACGGGAGGCAGCAGUAGGGAAUCUUCCACAAUGGGCGCAAGCCUGAUGGAGCAACACCGCGUGAGUGAAGAAGGGUUUCGGCUCGUAAAGCUCUGUUGUUAAAGAAGAACACGUAUGAGAGUAACUGUUCAUACGUUGACGGUAUUUAACCAGAAAGUCACGGCUAACUACGUGCCAGCAGCCGCGGUAAUACGUAGGUGGCAAGCGUUAUCCGGAUUUAUUGGGCGUAAAGAGAGUGCAGGCGGUUUUCUAAGUCUGAUGUGAAAGCCUUCGGCUUAACCGGAGAAGUGCAUCGGAAACUGGAUAACUUGAGUGCAGAAGAGGUAGUGGAACUCCAUGUGUAGCGGUGGAAUGCGUAGAUAUAUGGAAGAACACCAGUGGCGAAGGCGGCUACCUGGUCUGCAACUGACGCUGAGACUCGAAAGCAUGGGUAGCGAACAGGAUUAGAUA
rnacentral:rRNA from 1 species